UACGGAGGGUGCAAGCGUUAAUCGGAAUUACUGGGCGUAAAGCGCGCGUAGGCGGCUAGAUAAGUCGGAUGUGAAAGCCCCGGGCUCAACCUGGGAACUGCAUACGAUACUGUUUGGCUAGAGUAUGAGAGAGGGAGGUAGAAUUCCACGUGUAGCGGUGAAAUGCGUAGAUAUGUGGAGGAAUACCGGUGGCGAAGGCGGCCUCCUGGCUUAAUACUGACGCUGAGGUGCGAAAGCGUGGGGAGCAAACAGG
rnacentral:rRNA from 1 species